CCUACGGGAGGCAGCAGUAGGGAAUAUUGCUCAAUGGGGGAAACCCUGAAGCAGCAACGCCGCGUGGAGGAUGAAGGUUUUCUGAUUGUAAACUUCUUUUGUUAGAGAAGAUAAUGACGGUAUCUAUAGAAUAAUCACUGGCUAAUUUCGUGCCAGCAGCCGCGGUCAUACGGAGGGUGCAAGGGUUACUCGGAAUCACUGGGCGUAAAGCGCGCGUAGGCGGGAUAGCAAGUCAGAUGUGAAAUCCUAAGGCUUAACCAUAGAACUGCAUUUGAAACUGUUAUUCUAGAGUAUGGGAGAGGUAGGUGGAAUUCGUGGUGUAGCGGUGAAAUGCGUAGAGAUCAAGAGGAAUACUGAUUGCGAAGGCGACCUGCUAGAACAUAACUGACGCUGAUGCGCGAAAGCGUGGGGAGCAAACAGGAUUAGAUACCCGAGUAGUC
rnacentral:rRNA from 1 species